AUUGAACGCUGGCGGCAUGCCUUACACAUGCAAGUCGAACGGCAGCACGGGAGCAAUCCUGGUGGCGAGUGGCGAACGGGUGAGUAAUAUAUCGGAACGUGCCCAGUCGUGGGGAUAACGUAGCGAAAGCUACGCUAAUACCGCAUACGAUCUAUGGAUGAAAGUGGGGGAUCUUCGGACCUCAUGCUCAUGGAGUGGCCGAUAUCUGAUUAGCUAGUUGGUGAGGUAAAGGCUCACCAAGGCGACGAUCAGUAGCUGGUUUGAGAGAACGACCAGCCACACUGGAACUGAGACACGGUCCAGACUCCUACGGAGGCAGCAGUGGGGAAUUUUUGGACAAUGGGGGCAACCCUGAUCCAGCAAUGCCGCGUGAGUGAAGAAGG
rnacentral:rRNA from 1 species